rnacentral:rRNA from 1 species
CCUACGGGAGGCAGCAGUGGGGAAUCUUGCACAAUGGGGGAAACCCUGAUGCAGCGACGCCGCGUGAGUGAAGAAGUAAUUCGUUAUGUAAAGCUCUAUCAGCAGGGAAGAAAAUGACGGUAAGUGAGUAAGAAGCCCCGGCUAACUACGUACCAGCAGCCGCGGUAAUACGUAGGGGGCAAGCGUUAUCCGGAUUUAAUGGGUGUAAAGGGAGCGGAGACGGCAGUGCAAAUCUUGAGUGAAAGGCGGGGGCUCAACCCCCGGACUGCUCUGGAAACUGUACGGCUGGAGUGCAGGAGAGGUAAGUGGAAUUCCUUGUGUAGCGGUGAAAUGCGUAGAUAUUAGGAGGAACACCAGUGGCGAAGGCGGCUUACUGGACUGUAACUGACGUUGAGGCUCGAAAGCGUGGGGAGCAAACAGGAUUAGAUACCCGUGUAGUC